rnacentral:rRNA from 1 species
CUGGUUGAUCCUGCCAGUAGUCAUAUGCUUGUCUCAAAGAUUAAGCCAUGCAUGUCUAAGCACAUGCCUUAAUACGGUGAAGCCGCGAAUAGCUCAUUACAACAGCCACCGUUUAUUAGAAUAUCGUUAUCCUACUUGGAUAACUGUGGCAAUUCUAGAGCUAAUACAUGCAAAAAAGCUCCGCCCGCGAGGAACGAGCGCAUUUAUUAGAAUAAAAACCAAUCGGGUCUCGGCCCGUAAUUUGGUGAAUCUGAAUAACUUUGCCAAUCGCACGGUCCUAGUACCGGCGAUGUAUCUUUCAAGUGUCUGCCUUAUCAACUUUCGAUGGUAGGUUAUACGCCUACCAUGGUAGUAACGGGUAACGGAGAAUAAGGGUUCGACUCCGGAGAGGGAGCCUGAGAAACGGCUACCACAUCCAAGGAAGGCAGCAGGCGCGCAAAUUACCCACUUCCAGAACGGAGAGGUAGUGACGAAAAAUAACGAGACAGUCCUCUUCGAGGUCUGUCAUCGGAAUGGGUACAAUUUAAAUCCUUUAACGAGGAUCUAUUGGAGGGCAAGUCUGGU